rnacentral:rRNA from 1 species
AUGAAGCUGGAAUUGCUGUAAUGGCAGGUCAGCAUACUGCCGUGAAUACGUUCCUGGGCCUUGUACACACCGCCCGUCACACCAUGAGAGUUGGAAAUACCCGAAGCCUGUGAGCUAACUGUAAAGAGGCAGCAGUCGAAGGUAGAGCCAAUGAUUGGGGUGAAGUCGUAACAAGGUACC